AGCAAACCUUCCCUGACCUGACUGUUUCCUGUAGCAGACAGGAAAUGAGGUCUAACUGCUGAUUAAGCUUCCCAACAGAGUGUGAAACUAUAUGAAGACAUCAGCGGUUUUGAAGAAGACUCACUGUCAGAGAAAUAAAGAGAACGAAAGAGCAAAUGAACUGGAAUGGUUGAAACUGCAUUACUGGACAGUGUCUAAAUGUAUUUAAAUGUGCCAGUCUCUGGAGGAGGGCUUUCCCUGCUGAGUCCUCAGCUAAACGAAACAUCUCAUGAAGUUGGCUUAAUCACU